AUGGCUCAGACAGACCUUAUAAUCACUAGACACCUCCUCCCCCUCCAAGACUGACAGGAUAACUACACUUGCACCUUUCCAUUAAAAGAGAGCUCUUCGCAACUGCUCUGUUUUGAUCAGUCACAUGCCUUCAGCUGUGCUAGGCUCCAGGGAGAAAUACACUGAAAUCAACAAACAGGAGCCUACUGUAGAAGAGGACCGGAUUUCUCCCAGUGGUAGGUUAUGAAGAACUAGCAGCCAUAGCGCUGUCUGGUAAUGGAUUAUCCGUUUCACUCUCAACCACAGGUGUAUCUAUAAUGGGUGCAAGGAAGACCCAUACUGUGCCCAUUUAAUAUACAUAACUUGCAUCCGCAUCUUCUGGAAAAUGGCACCAGUGCAUGCCCAGUAAAGAAAUCACCAGGAUGGUGCCAGUGCCAUUUUUCCAGAGACAUGCACAUCAGUGGAGUAACUAGGGGUCCGCAGCCACUGCGAGCGCUUGGAGGCAUGCAGGGCUGCGGGGCGCCCUAGCUGCCACUGAUCUCUGCUAGGA